AGGACGAACGCUGGCGGCGUGCCUAACACAUGCAAGUCGAGCGGAAAGGCCUCCUUCGGGAGGUACUCGAGCGGCGAACGGGUGAGUAACACGUGGGCAACCAACCCCUCACAUCGGGAUACCCCGGGGAAACUCGGAUCAAUACCGGAUAAUGCGCGACGCUGUUGGGCGUCGCACCAAAGGUAGCUUCGGCCUCUGGUGAGGGACGGGCCCGCGGCCCAUUAGCUUGUUGGUGGGGUAAUGGCCUACCAAGGCAACGAUGGGUAGCUGGUCUGAGAGGAUGAUCAGCCACACUGGGACUGAGAUACGGCCCAGACUCCUACGGGAGGCAGCAGUGGGGAAUAUUGCGCAAUGGGCGGAAGCCUGACGCAGCAACGCCGCGUGCGGGAGGAAGGCCUUCGGGUCGUAAACCGCUUUCAGGGGGGACGAAGCCACCAGGGUUAAUAGCCCAUGGGGUGACGGUACUCCCGAGAAGAAGCCCCGGCUAACUACGUGCCAGCAGCCGCGGU
rnacentral:rRNA from 1 species